ACGAACGCUGGCGGCGUGCUUCACACAUGCAAGUCGAACGAAGAGCGAUGGAAGCUUGCUUCUAUCAAUCUUAGUGGCGAACGGGUGAGUAACGCGUAAUCAACCUGCCCUUCAGAGGGGGACAACAGUUGGAAACGACUGCUAAUACCGCAUACGAUCUAAUCUCGGCAUCGAGGAUAGAUGAAAGGUGGCCUCUACAUGUAAGCUAUCACUGAAGGAGGGGAUUGCGUCUGAUUAGCUAGUUGGAGGGGUAACGGCCCACCAAGGCGAUGAUCAGUAGCCGGUCUGAUAGGAUGAACGGCCACAUUGGGACUGAGACACGGCUCAGACUCCUACGGGAGGCAGCAGUGGGGAAUCUUCCGCAAUGGACGAAAGUCUGACGGAGCAACGCCGCGUGAGUGAUGACGGCCUUCGGGUUGUAAAGCUCUGUUAAUCGGGACGAAAGGCCUUCUUGCGAAUAGUGAGAAGGAUUGACGGUACCGGAAUAGAAAGCCACGGCUAACUACGUG
rnacentral:rRNA from 1 species